UGGGGAAUAUUGGACAAUGGGGGCAACCCUGAUCCAGCCAUGCCGCGUGUGUGAAGAAGGCCUUCGGGUUGUAAAGCACUUUAAGUGGGGAGAAAGGCUCCUUGGCUAAUAUCCAAGGGGAUUGAUGCUACCCACAGAAUAAGCACCGGCUAACUCUGUGCCAGCAGCCGCGGUAAUACAGAGGGUGCAAGCGUUAAUCGGAAUUACUGGGCGUAAAGCGCGCGUAGGCGGCUGAUUAAGUCGGAUGUGAAAUCCCCGGGCUUAACCUGGGAACUGCAUUCGAUACUGAUCGGCUAGAGUAUGAGAGAGGGAGGUAGAAUUCCACGUGUAGCGGUGAAAUGCGUAGAUAUGUGGAGGAAUACCGGUGGCGAAGGCGGCCUCCUGGCUUAAUACUGACGCU
rnacentral:rRNA from 1 species